rnacentral:misc_RNA from 1 species
ACAACAAUCAAGCCCAGCUUGGUGUUGGAAGCGGCCCGUCCCUCGGGACGGGCCUUUCCUAAACAUAUAGGCGCCGUCGUCCGGCUCUAAGCGUAGCAAGCGAAAGCCCUCGCUUUAGACCGUCGGACUGCUGGCUGCCGGUAAAUCCAUUCGGGGCAACCCGAAUUUACUACA